AUCCAUUUUCGAGGGAGUUGUGAAUUUACAUAGACCAACCAAGAUGUUGCCCAAAUCUUGCACCUCCAAAUUCCCUCCUGCAAUGUGCUUUUUCGCACAAAAUGUACAAGAAUAUAUUAAAAUCCCCAUU